rnacentral:lncRNA from 1 species
UCCUACAUUACAUUAGAAUCCAAACAUCAUCAUCCUACUAAUUGAAACAUAACUGCAAACACCGAAAACAAGCAAGUUACACCAUCUGCAAUAUUAGAAUAUUUCAAGUAUCAAUUUAUAAAAUUUAUUAACCUUAUAUCUCAAAAAUAUUAAAAAAUUAACUUUAUAUAAAACUUACCCAUCAUCACUCAUCUGUGAUUUUACAUACAAAUUCUGCCCACUCUAUCCUUACUUCAUCAAUUUCCUUUUUGGAGUAGCAUCCUCCUGCAAACUAUAAGAAAGACAAACUUGUGAUCAAAUAUGAAAUUAUAGAAAUUGUAUUGAAGUAAAAUUUAAUAAAAAUUAUAAAUUACAAUUACCAGUGUAGUUAUUGGGAGAGAGUGAUCAGAUACAAUAUUAUCAAUAAC